CGGAAGCGGGUUUCGUGGAGCCGAGGCCAGUCUGUGGAGUGAUUGAAUUCUCAAGACUGAUCUUGUCUGAGGAAGAAGCAGCUUAGAGGAGGAGGAAGAGGAAAGGAGGGAGUCAGGAAUGGCUGUUUGUCAGGGAUGGUUGACCUUCAGGGAUGUGGCCAUAGAAUUCUCUCAGGAGGAGUGGGAGUGCCUGAACCCUGCUCAGAGGGCCUUGUACAGGGACGUGAUGGUGGAGAACUACAGGAACCUGGUCUCUCUGGCCAUCUCUUCCAAAUAUAUGAUCAAGGAAUUACCACCCAAAGAGACCAGUAAUACAGAGGAAGUAUUGCAGACGGUUAUAUUGGAAAGACAUAAAAGCCGUGACACCGACGAUUAUGCUUUUAGAGCGAUCCAGAAAAAUAUUCCUGACUUUGAGUGUCAGUGGGGAGACGGUGAAAGAAAUUACAAAGCAGUGCUUGUGACCCUUAACAAAAAUCUCAAUGGUGGAAGAGAUCAAUAUGGUGGAAGAGAUGCAGGAAAUAAGCCAAUUGAAAACAGGUUUGGACUAAGCUUUCAGUCACAUCUGGCUGGAGUGCAGAUACUUCAUACUGAAGGGAAAAUUUAUGAAUGUCACCCAGCUGAGAAGUCUGUCAGCGUUGGGUCUUCAGUUUCACCACAUCCCAGAAUUCUUCCUAGUGUCCACACCAGCAUUUCUAGUGAACGUGGGAAUGAUUUCUUGCGUUCUUCGUUACUCACACAAGACCGGAAAGCACACCUUAGGGAAGAACCUUACAAACGUGAUGAGUGUGACAAAGCAGUUAAUCCCAGUUUACACCUCACUAGACAUCAGAUAAUCCGUCCAGGAGAGAAACCAUAUAAAUGUGAUGUAUGUGGGAAGGUCUUCAGUCACAACUCACACCUUGCAUGUCAUCGAAGAAUUCACACCGGAGAGAAACCUUACAAGUGCGUCGAGUGUGGCAAGGUCUUCGGUCGCAAUUCACACCUUGUGCGUCAUCACAGGAUUCACACUGGGGAGAAACCUUACCACUGCAAUGAGUGUGGUAAAGCCUUUAGUGAGUGUUCAAGUCUUACUAACCAUCAGGUAAUCCAUACUGGGGAGAAACCUUACAAGUGCAACGAAUGUUGCAAGGUCUUCAGUCAGAGUUCAGGCCUUGCAAGCCAUCGAAGAAUCCAUACUGGAGAGAAACCUUACAAAUGUCCUGAGUGUGGCAAAGCCUUUACGUAUAGUUCACAACUCACUAACCACCAGGUAAUCCAUACUGGUGUGAAGCCUUACAAAUGUACUGAGUGUGGCAAAGCCUUUAAUCAGAGCUCACAUCUCACUAGACAUCAAAUAAUCCACACAGGGGAGAAACAUUACAAGUGUGACGAAUGUGGGAAGGUCUUCAGUUACGAUUCACACCUUGCUCGUCAUCGCAGGAUUCAUUCUGGAGAGAAGCCUUACCAGUGUAAUGAAUGUGGCAGAGCCUUUAGCAUGUAUUCAAGCCUUACUUAUCAUCAGGUAAUCCAUACGAGGGAGAAACCUUACAAAUGUAAUGAAUGCGGCAAGGUCUUCAGUCAGAGUUCGAGCCUUCCUAGUCAUCGGAGAAUUCAUACUGGGGAGAAGCCAUACAAAUGUAAUCAGUGUGGCAGAUCUUUUAUUCAACGCUCAAACCUCACUAGACAUCAGAUGAUUCAUACAGGAGAGAAACCAUAUAAAUGUAAUGUAUGUGGGAAGGUCUUCAGUCAAAAUUCGAGCCUUGCAAGUCAUCAGAGAAUUCAUACUGGGGAGCGCCCCUAUAAAUGUAAUGAGUGUGGCAAAGCCUAUUAUCAAGUCUCACACCUCAGUAGACAUCAGAUGAUUCGUACUGGAGAGAGACCUUACAAAUGCAAUGACUGUGGUAAGGUCUUCAGUGAAAAUUCGCAUCUGGCAAGUCAUCAGGGAGUUCAUUCUGGUGGGAAACCUUAUUAAUGUAAUGAGUGUGGCAAAACCUUUACAGUGCAUUCAAGCCUUAAUAACCACCAUACAGUACAUACUGUAUGUAAUGAAUGUGGUAAGGUCUUCGGUCACAGUUCAUACCCUGCACAUGAUCGCAGAAUUCAUACUGAAGGGAAACUUUACAAAUGUAGUAAGUGUAAUAAAGUCUUUAGUCAACAGUUAAGCCUUGUACGUCAUGAGAGAUUUCAUAAUGUUAAACUUUACAAGUGUAAUGACUGCGGCAAAGCCUAUUCUUAUUGCUCACAACUCGCUAACCAUCAGGUAAUGCAUACUGGAGAGAAACCUUAUAAAUGUAAUGAGUGUGGCAAAGCCUUCAGUCAACAUUCAAGCCUCGCAAGUCAUCAGAGAAUGCAUACUGUUAAUAAAAUUUACACAUGUAAUGACUGUGGCAAAGCCUUUUCUUGCUGCUCAGAACUCACUAACCAUCAGGUAAUACACACUGGAGAGAAACGUUAUAAAUGUAGUAAGUGUGGCAAAACCUUUACUUGGUUCUCAGCGCUCACUAGACGUCAGAUAAUUCAUACUGGAGAGAAACCUUAUAAAUGUAAUGAAUGUGGCAAAGCCUUUACUCGGGGAUCACAUCUCAGUAGACAUCAGAUGAUUCAUACUGGAGAGAAACCUUACAAAUGCAAUGAAUGUGGCAAAGCCUUUAUUGGGAAAUCACAGCUCACUAGACAUCAGGUGAUUCAUACUGGAGAGAAACAUAAAUGUAAUGAACGUACCAGUGUCUUCAGUCAGAAUCCACGCCCUGCAAGUCAUCAGAGAAUUCAGCCUACCAAGUAAGCUUAUAAAUGUUAAUAACUGUAGAAAACCUUCAACAUGAGGGCAAGCAUGAAUUGACACCAGAGAGUCCAUACUAAACAGAAAUUAUAAAAAUGUAUCAGAGGCUAUACCUGGUCCUCACAAGUCCCUAGACAUUAGAAUAUGCAUCUUUGACGAAACCACAUAAAUGUAACGUGCAUGCCGAGUCUUUACCCAAAGAUCAAAACUAAAACAUUAGGAUUUAUAUUGGAGAGCGGUCUUGCAAAGGUAGUUUGUAGUAAGGCUUUGUUUCAAACAUGCAUGCCUUUGGUAUCAGAGAAU